AUGAAAUCCGUAUCAUAGACUUGGAAGGAAAUACAAUAAAGUCUAUACAAGUUGAGAGUAAAUCAUACCUGUUUCACAUUGUUUACUUUAAAGACAGAGUAAAACAGUAUACUGUAUUAAUGAAUCAGGUAAACAGAUCGGGCAAUACAAACACAAUUUAUCAGAACCACGAGGACUUUGUGCAGAUACUUAUGGCAAUAUUAUUGUAGCAAACAUCGGAUCUGAUGGAAUCAUAGCAAUAUCAAAAGAUGGACAGGACAGUAAAAAAAUGGUUAUAAAAGAGGAUCUAGAAUAUACGCCGCGGUAUAUUUGUUUCAACAAAAAUAAAGAACCUUAUGGUUUUAUUUGCGAUGCUAAUGGCAUAAGCUUAACCCGAUUCCUCCUGUCUUAUGAUUGAACAUGCAUUAAAAAAUGGGAGAACAUUACUUAACUA
rnacentral:lncRNA from 1 species